GAGAGCGCAUCCUCCAUCCCCCGGCCAGGGAGAAGUCACGCGGACCCCCAGGUUGCUGGGCCGCGAUGGGGGGAAGAGGAGACCACCCCCAGCUCCGCAGCGAGCGCCCUCACUUCGGGGAGACAGAGGCGUCGAUCCCUCCUGCGGACGGCUGGGGGCGCUGCGCUUCAACCGAAGGCAGAGAUCCUGGACCGGGGCGAGGCAAGCCCUCCCGGAGGAGAGGAGCUCUGAAGGGGGAAAACAGCUCUGCAGAGUGUAGAGGAGCCGGACUUUGCAGCCAGGUACCUCUGUGCAAGUCUCAGCUGUGCCUCUGAAGUAGCUAGCCGUUGCCCAGCACUGUGCUAAGGUCUUUUCAUCACUGUGUAAUUGAAGGCUCACAGCCACCCUUUAAGGAAAACGAUCUUGUCGUCAUUAUUUUAUAAGAAAUGGAAUGGAAGCUCAGUGCCACCCCUAGCCCAUGGACACAUUCCCAGAGAGCGGCAGUGUGUCUGGCCUGGAACUUAAUGAAUUCUGUCGGACAGAAGUCCAUGCUCUUAACCAUUAGGCCUCCCAUACAAAGAUACUUUGUACGGGGACAUGAGACACAGCCUAAUAGCACAGAAACUCACAGAGGACGAGUUUCUUAGUUUUGUCAUCUCUGAAAUGGGAAUAAUAAUAUUACUCCCACCUUGCAAGGCUUUGGGAAAGAUUAGAGAGAAUGUAAAAAGGUCCAUGUGAGAGGUCCUCGUGGGUUAAUGUGUGGGGGGAGUCCCCAGUCCCUCCCCGGGCACUCAGAGCGAUGUGGGAAGACUGUGGAGCCCAUGCUUAUUGAUGCUGUUUCAUUUCAAUUAAACCUCCGUCAGAAACAUCGCAUGACAUCAAAAUGGAAGAGAUGUUGAGUCUGAACGGUGCUGCCUCCGCAACCCAGGAUCCUACCAGCUGCAGAAGUCGCGAGUAAUGCCAGCCGGGCUCCGAAGACUCCCUCAGCCCCCGGGGCCAGUGGACAGUGCCCACAUCCUCUGUGGCCCUCUCGCAGCUGUAGAAGACAGGCACAGGUCUUCCGUUGUGUGCAGAUAUAUUGAAUGCCUGGUAUGUACAAGAGGAGGGAAUCCACUGAAACCAUGAGAAACGUGAGGAGAGAGACUGUGUCCUUCAUCUCCUGUCUCCACAAGUGGCACAGGUCCAAGGAAAGGUGGCCUGGUUUGAGAAGAACUGAAUGCCUGUAUGCUCCAGGGACUGGGAUAGGUGCUGAGGAGAGAGACGUCCAGUGCACAGGGCCCUCCUGGCUGAGCCUGGGAACUUCAGGGACCACCUUCUGGAGGACAGGAUGCCUGUGCUGAGUCUUGAAGAAUGAGAGGGAUUCCAGCAUGGGACAGGCUUUGAGAAGGCAAAGGAGAUCCUGAGAAUUUCAUUUCAGGAUGCAAUGAAAUAAAUAAAACCUCUGUCAUUCUCUGGUGCUGACAACAUCCUGGAAUGUAUCUACAGCUCCAGGGACGCCAUUUUGUCCUGAGAGGAAGCCAGCUUCCUCCCUCAGGAAGGAAACCCAGGCCAAGAGGACGGAAUGGUUACUCAUGUCAUGCGUGCUCAGUGGCUGCCCAUCUCAGCAUCAGCGGUAUGAACAGAGCACUCUGGAGGGGCAGGGAGAGGUGGCUUUGUGGGUAGUGGGAUGCCACCUUCACUGUCCUUCAGUCCAAUAGG
ensembl:lncRNA novel transcript